rnacentral:misc_RNA from 1 species
GAUGAAGAACGCAGCGAAAUGCGAUACUUGGUGUGAAUUGCAGAAUCCCGUGAACCAUCGAGUCUUUGAACGCAAGUUGCGCCCCAAGCCUUCGGGUCGAGGGCACGUCUGCCUGGGUGUCACGCAUCGUAGCCCCUACCACUUAUGUUGGUGUGAGGCUGAUAAUGGCUCUCCCGUCCUCAUGGUAGUGCGGUUGGCCUAAUUGUAGUAACCCUAAUGUGGUGUUUGCCAUGAUGAGCGGUGGUUUGUCUAGGCUUUCCUCGUUGAGUCAUCGUGUGCAGCAUGUCAUUAGAGUUGGUUACCUUUGUACUUUGAUCCUUAAUUAAGAGAGAGUGCACAUCGCGACCCCAGGUCAGGCGGGAAUACCCGCUGAGUUUAAGCAUAUCAAUAAGCGGAGGA